AUGAAAAGUGAUGGUUGGAUUCGUCCCCUGGUGGGUUUUGUGAAACUUAAUGUUGAUGCUUCUUUUGAUCAUGAUCUUCUUAAAGGUUCAGCCGGGGCUGUCCUGAGGAACGACAAAGGGAAUUUUAUUGCAGGGGGUACUUGGAAAAUUGAUCAUUGCGUCGAUGCUCUAACAGCGGAAGCUUGGGCUCUCAGAUUCGGUCUUUCACUAGCGCAACAUGCGGGUUGCAAUCGCCUUGUUAUUAAUUCUGAUAAUUUGGAGGUUAUUGAAGCGAUGAAUAAUGGCGGAGGGUCAGCAGGAGCGGCGGCGGCAAUUUUUGAUGAUUGCUAUUUUUUGGCGUGUGCUUUUCCUAUCUCUAGGUUUGAACAUUGUAAUAGGGAAGCCAAUAAGGUUGCGCACGAGCUUUCUAGGUUGGCUAGAAUUUCUUCUACUGUUGAUUGGUUUGAGGAGCCUAUGAUUGAGAUUGUAUCAUUCCUCACAAACGAUGUAUCUAUUAUUUGGGUUUAA
rnacentral:rRNA from 1 species